UACGGGGGUCUCGCUGUCCGAUCAGCGAGUCGGGGGUCCAAGGGGGCGACGCGCCCCUGGCUUGGGGGCCCGGGGGCGCAGCGAAGCCCCCGGUGGGGGCUUCGGGGGCAACGCCCCCGAAGCUUAUGAUCUAUAGUUAGUUGGGCUAGCUUUCGGUCAAGUGAAGGCCCAAGGGGCUGGCCGAACUUUCCUUGUUAUUUUUCCAGUUUAUUAGGUCUUAGUCACGGCUAUUAAUAGCCUCAAGCCGCAUGUUACAUUCAAUUUUUGAGAGUAUUGAAUAAAAUUUCCAGAAUUUCGUCCAUUCCUUGUGACAAAUUCCCUUAGCUUGUAAAAGCUAAGUUGAACAUCCUAGAGUUGAUCCUAGGCUGUUCUUGACUUAUCAAUCAAGCACACAUACUUGAUUGUGGCGUCCUCUACCGUUAAAUCUGUUCUUGAGUGGUCCAAGUUCGGGUUCAACUCCGUCAAAUCUUCAUCGUGUUCCUCUAGAUCCGAAGUAGCUUCCGCGUCUCGCAUCAUGUUACAUGCUAUUUAUACUGUUCAGAUGAAAUCAAAUAGACAUAUACAUAGAUUUUCAAAAAUAAUAAAAAUUUAUUUGUACACAUGAUCAAUAAGGGAUGAAAUUUUUUAUUUUGUGAAAAUGUGAGAGAUGAAAAAUUCAUUAUGUGAAAUUUAAGGGAUGAAAAAUUCAUUGCGUAAAAUAUGAGAGAUUAAAAAGUUCAUUUUAUAAAAUGUGAGGGAUAAUAAAUCGGAUUAUGUGAAAUUUAAUCUGACAAUUUUGUCUCUAAAAAACGAUCACGGGCAAUGCACGCGGUAAAUUUUGACAAAAACUAAUCAAAAACCUAAAUAUGGACUAAAAUUGACCAAUGUGAAUUUGUAAAUGAUGUAAAAUUACACUUUUAAAAGUAAGGUAUUAAAAAAAUCAUUUUACAAAAUAUAAAUAACAUUUUGAAUGUUCUUUCCUUAUUUCUUUUACAUAAUCGAGUUUGAAUGAGCUUUUUUUUUUAUUGAAUUUGAAAGUUAUCGAACAUAAAACACUGCUCAAACGUGAAUUUAUUAAUUAGUAAAUUAAAUUUAAAUGAACUCUGACAAAAAAGAAUUCGAUUCGAGUAUUGAGUAAUUUGAUUUAUUUUUCAAUUAUAAAAGUAAGAAAAAUUAAUCCUAUUUUAUACCCAACUUAACCUCAUCUAAUAAUUAAAGGUCUACAUAUAAAUGAACUAUAAUAUUUAAAAAGUAAAAUAAUUUAAUUUAAUAAAGUUGUGGUGAAGUUUUAUUCAACACUAUUUUAAUUCAAGUAUUGAUUAUUGUAUUAUAUGCAAGUCGAGUAGGUUGCUUAGUUCCCUAAAUAAUGAUCAGAACCAUUAGGUCUUGAUCUAAUGGCUACCAGGGAAAAUUAAUUUCAUUUCUAGGGUGUUGGUCAAGUUUCAAUUGAGUGUGUUUUUAUAAAAUAUUAUUUAAAAUAAUGACUGUAAUAUUUUUUAUAAUGUGAUAUAUAUGAGUUAAAAAUAUAAUUAAAAAAUAUAUUUAUGAUACAAAUAAAAUAUUAUUUGAAAUAAUUUGCUAUCCAAAUAUCAUUUUCGCCAAAGUAGUAGUAGUGGAGCAGGCAAGCACGUCACAGGAACAGCAGUACAACGCAUCCUCCUUUCUGACCAUCCCCUUCUCUAGGAUCCUUUAUUGCGAUAGAAUAGGAUUUAAAAUAAAAAAAGUAAUGAUCAGAAUAAGGGGAAGAGAUUAAUGAAAUAAAAUUGUUAUUUUUGAGUUUUGUUGGGCCUGCCUUUAUGGGGUAGUAAAAGGUGGACCGAAAGAAUUCUUGAUUACAUAAGAAACUAGUGGGAAUACCCGUGCUAUGCACGGUGCUGACAUUAUUGGAAAAAAAAUAAAAUGGUGAACAAAUAAAGGUAACAAAAGUUUACCAAUAAAAUUAAAAUAUAAUAUCUGUUUAACAAUAAUUUGAAAUAUAAUAGAAUGAAUAUAUCAUUUAAGAACCGUCUUUUUCGGUUGUAUGAGAAUUUUUUUUAUCAUUGUAUGAAAAUUGUUAACAAAAAAUACAAUAGUUAAUAUAGAAUAGCAUCAAUAGAAUUUAAUACAAUUGUGUUGUAAUCAAAUGAAAAAUACGCACCAAUUGAAUUGUUAUUAACACCCAUAGUUAAUGAAGUAAUCCCUAUAUAAAUAUAUUUUGGUACAUGUAGUAAUUGGUAAUCUAUAAAAUAAAAUAAAUUGCUAAUCUAUAAAAUUGCUAAGUUGUCUAUAAAUAGCAUCAAUCGAAUGUAAUACAAUUGUAUUGUAAUCGAACAAUUGUAAUACAAUUGUAUUGUAUUGUAUCUAUAGUUGAUUUAGCAAGAUAGUGCAGCCAAAAAGUGUGUAUGUAAGAUGAGUAUGACGAUAUAAGAAGUUGUAUAUUUACCAUGAUCACGCAAAAUCAUUGGUGAUGUGGAUGCCUGGCGAUCUUGAGGACAGUUAGAUUUUUCAUUUCUUUGAUCUAGAAAUAAAAUAUAUAUUAAAUUAAAAAUCAGUAGUUUAUGUAUUUAUUUUAUGUGUAAAUAAUGAUACAUUGUAUGAAAACUGUUAACCAAAAAAAUACAAUAAUUAAUAUAGAAAUAACAUCAAUAGAAUUUAAUAGAAUUGCAUUGUAAUCAAAUGAAAACAAUUACAGAGAAGUGGUUACCUGAACUAAGGAAUGCAGUUUUAAAUGCUCAAAAGUGCCUUGACGAUUGCACAUAUGUCAGGGGCUUGGUGAGUUUUUUGCUCCUCUUGAAUCAUUUUCUUUUUUCUAAUUGUAAUAUAUUACUUGCAGGUGUUAAGUAGGACUUGGCUCUAACCUUUCGUUUAAGUACUUUAAGCAAUGAACUAUUUAUUCUAUGAGUUGAAUUGUGCUAUUGCUAGAUAGAUGAAUCAUGUAGUUGUAAUUGUCAUUGUUGAUAAAGAAAAGAAAGGCUAUAAUGCAACUUUGCCAAAAAGAUUUCUGACGAAAUUAAAAAUUAAUCCAAUUUUAAUAAUGGCGUAUAGUGCCUUAGUUAUUAGUAGUAUCUGAAUUGUUUUUCUCCAAUUAUAAACCAUUUUUAAUUAUCAAAAAAUCUUUUUUUAUUUCAUGCACGAUCAUUUUUGGAAUAAAAUUAUGAAAAUAACUAUCGUAACACCUAUUUUAUGUGAUAAAUGUGCAAUAAAAAAUAAUUAAAAAAAUUUCAGUAAUACAAACAAAUAAAUUUUUAUAAUAUACAAUUUAUGUUAGAAAUAGUAGAACCCUCAAUCAUAAAUCUAUACCAUCCGCAAUUAUAUAAGCAAGCAAUACCUUUUUAUCUUUGCUUUACAUUGUAACAAUAAGCAAACAACAGUUCAUAGGAUUUUGUAAAAAAUUUUCAGAAAUAAUGGAUGAUCAGAAAAUCAAUGCAAUAUCAUUCAUGACAAAAAGCAAAGCAAAAGCACAACAUACUUAAAAGGCAGAGGGGACCGACCUGGAAAAUUAAGCCGGCCGCAAGAAGGUUGAUUUCUGCUGGAGUCUCUGCACAUAAUAUCUUCCACUACUGCUCACAAAAGAAACAAAAUCAAUACAUUUACAAAAUCAAUAGAGAACCCAAAACAAAUAAGAAACUGAGAGAGAGGGUGAGGGAAUUAACUCGAUAAGUUAAUUAAGUCGAUCAGUAAAAGGGUUGGAAAAAAAUUAUAAACAUAUUAUAUUAUUGGAAAUAAUCGAAAAUAAAAAGAAUUACAAUAUGGGGAAUAAUUAUUAAAGAAAACACGUACCGGAAUUUUUAAUUUGAUGCGAACGACGUUUUAAUCAGUGUAGCCUGGAUUUUGUUCUUCGGAUUUGAUUUGAGAUUUUUCUUUCGUCAGCGCAAACUUGUUGAAACUUUUCCAACUGGUGUGUGAAAUCGUUGCGGUAUAUGUUUCGUUUUCUAAGCAAAUAUUUCCUUCUUUGCAAUCUUGCGAGUUUGAAAUCUAGUUGUUGUUGAAAUGCUUGUAGGCGGGCAUAUUCCAUGGUGAGGAAACUUUAGAUGAGUUCCCUACAAAUUUUGAGUGAAAAAUUUUAAUAUAUUAAAUAAUAGGACAACUUGAAUUUGGGACAGCAGAUAAGUGGGGCAAAGGUGAAAAAACACAAUAAUACUAAUCAAUAGCUAAAUGAGCAGGGUCACUUAUUGAAAGGUAAUCACCGCCGGCUUCGUGACGUCUGCCGAAGGUUCAAGAAAAGAAGUAUGAUGCGUACUAAGAAGAGCACCGGAGUUCUGGUACCAGGAUGGGAUAGCUUUCAGGUAUUUUCCUGUGUUAUGUGAAGACGCAAUUUUGAAUUAAAAAAAAAUGGGUCAUUAAGAGAUAGUUGGAGUGGACUCUUAAUUGGAGUGGGAAACGGGAGAGAAUUUGUAGGAGUGAUUGUAGGAUGAGUUAAGAUAGUGGGAUACUGGGAGUGAGAUAGUGGGAAUAUUGAUUGGUGAUAAUGUGGGUUAUAACCCACUAUUUUUUUAUGUAUUAAAAUAAAUACAAAAAUCUAGAAAAAAGUAUGACAAGUUUAGAAGGCAUUGAGAGGGUUUCUGCUAAAAAUCCCUUCCUGAAUACAUAUAGAUAUAGAUUUAUAAUCAAUCAGGCAACCAUCUAAAAUUGGGACCCGAUAUUGGAAACAUGUCAUCAUACGGGUCCGCUACUACUACGUUGCUACAGUUUUUUUAAAAUGGAGUAUGCAGGAGAAAAUGCCAGCCUACGAUUUGGCGAAGAUUCUAAGUGGAAAAUCCUUCAAAACGUUUAUUAUAUUUUAUCAAAUAAAAUUUAUUAUUUUUUAUUAUUUUUUAUUUUUUAAAAUUUUAAAAUAUUAACUUUACGUUAUUUAUAAAUUCAAGUUAUUAAAAUUUGGUCAUAACCUACAUUUUUUAUUACUUUUUAACCUAAAAAUCAUCAUGUAACCCGUAUGUGAUCAUUUUUUAUAUACAAAAAUCAAAUAUGACUUUUUAAGAGUAAAAAUGAAUAUGUAUUGGGGUAGAUUCCACUUUUCAGAUGAAAAAAUAAAUAUGAUUCUGGUCAUAUCUCAAAUUUGUAGGUGCAAAAAAAUGGAUAUAGGUCAAGUCAUUUGUUUUAAUUAAAAUGAAAUUUAACAUUUUUGCUCCUAAAAAAAAUGAUCAUGUGAAGGUUAUGUAAUUGAUUCAAAGCAAAAAAAUAGUCAAAAACAUAGGUUAGGACCAAAAUUUGUCGACUUGAUUUUAUAAGGGACGUAAAAUUGCUAUUUUAAAAGUGAAUGAUAAAAAAAUUCAUUUAAUAAAUUAUGAUGGAUAUUUGAACAAUUUUCCAAUUCUACCCAAAUACACGCAUACAUGUAUAUAUAGAUUAUUCUAUGAAAUGUAAACAUUUGAUGGUACAAUUAAUGGUGGGGAAAAUAACAAUUCAAUACUUGAAUUAAAAUAGUGUUGGAAUAAUUUUUCAGAUUGGACUGUCAAAACUUGUGGGGAAAAUGAAAUCAGAAGAUUCAACAUUUAUAAGAAGGGUAUUAAAUUUGAGAAAUUUUGUUGCUAGGAAUGGGCUAAGGAUAUGAUCAUAAGCGUAAAAAAAAUGUUUUUGAAUGAAAAAAAAAAAUUAUUAGCAUACAUUCGCAGUCAUAUGUGCAUAUUCAAGUACACAUAUGUACACAUAAAUUACAAUGUACACAUACAAAUGUACGCUUAUGUAAACAAAAGUAUACAUAGUUAUUUGUCAAGGUGAAUGUUUUUGCUCGACAAAGUACAUACUAUUAUGAGGGUGAAUUAGCAUUUAGCAAAAAGUUUAGAAUAAACUUUAUAUACAGUGACAGUAUAUAUGUAUGUAUACACACACAUCAUCAUUAAUGGAUUCAUGACAAGUGUAAAAAGUUAGAUUUCAAAUUCAAUUUUUACAUAAUUGUCAUUUAUUUAACACCUAUGGUGUGUACACUAUCAGGAUUAAUUCAUAAGUUUAGUUAUUUUAAUUUGUGAACAAUGACGCAUCCCUAAUUCACACAUUUGUGGAAAUUUACAUCAUAUUUACAAAAUUUGAAAUCUUUUGUUCCCAUUCUCCAAAUUUUCCUAAAUUUGUAUUACAAAUAUUUCCCCACAUAGCAACACAGCAUUUAAACGCUUCAAAGUUGUUUGUACCAAGUAUUAGUGGUUUUAUUUUGUCUAAAAAUAAAAAGUAUCGGCGGUUUGAUGCGAAAGUGUGCGACUAUGUCUAAUAUAUGUAACUACAUUUAUAAGCUAAACAUUGAUUGUGUUUUCACGACUUGCGAGAACUAGCUUAAAGCAUUGGAUUUAUGCAUUAAAAUGGUUUUGGUUUUUAUGACUUGCGAGGCAAUGAUGUUCAUAGUUUAUAAGUUCAGAUGCAUAUUUUAUCCUAGAUUAAAUUCAAUGUAACAAGGAUUUACUUGAUACAUUCUUUAUUUUAUUUUUUCGUGAGAAACUUGCUUGGCAAUAUCUUGUUUUAUCAAGGACAAAGGUGUAACUUGGGCUUGGAAGACAUAUACAAGACAAAAUGCCUACUCUACACAACAUACUCAAGAGAACAUAAUUUAAAAUAACUCAUGGCAUAAUAUUGAGCACUAAUUGCAACAUACAUCAGUUUAACUUUUUUUUAAAUAAUAAAAUUAAUGACCUAAAUUUAUGAUAUUGUAUAAGUUUAACUAGAGUGUAUAUAUAUAUAUAUUUUUUUUUUGUCGACACAGGGGUGUUCGGAUCAAUCCUUACGGGGCCCGAUUAAUUCCCUGCGGCCUGGGAGAGGAGGCCUCACUCCACACCGAACACGUUAACAGCGGGACUCGAACCCUGGACAAGCCAAGAAGGUCGCCAUAUCCUAAGGAGGGGGAACGGACCGCUCGAGCUACCCGCGGGGGCAACUAGAGUGUAUUAUCAAAUAAAGAAGUUUGAAUUCUAAAGCAAAACUGCACAUUUUUUGGGCAAGAAAAAAAAAAGCAUCAAGAUUCUUUAUUUUUUAAAUACUAAUGAGCGUAAUGUAUGAUCGGAUUCUGUUUCUUUGCAAUCGCACUAGUAAUUAUAGAGUGCAAUUAAUGGUGAUAGAUGGUGUAUUUUGAAAAUGCAGGGAAGGGAUUAAAUUUUGGAUACAAAUUUUAAAGUGUCAAAAAAAUUAUUGUAAUUUUGCAUUUUUGUUGUUAUUCGUCUAUUUUAUUGCAUUAAUAUCUAACUCUGCUAGUAUGUAUAUUAUAAUGUGCAGUUGUAACGUAGUGAUUGCAUAAUCCUUGAAUCCUGCAUGUAUUGAUGUUAUAUCUGUACCUAUGUUACACUGAUCUAGGAUCAAAAAGUUCCGCUUGACUAAAAAAGCAAACUUGAAGGACCAAAAAGUACAAAAUAAUACUCGGAGGACUAUCUCGAAAUUUUGGAAAAUACUUUAGGGAUUAAAUUCAAGUUUCUACAAAUUGUCCCAGCAGGAAGGAAAGCAUUACUACUAUUAGAAACACGAGGGAGACAAAUCGACGAACAGUGGUAAGUAUUAAACCCAGACCCACAGUUAAGAAAGAGAAACGGGAAAAGGAGCUUAAAAGUUAAACCCCAAAGGAGGAAGAGGAACCAUCGUCUGGGCGUGGUUGCCCCUUUAUGUAGAAUAAAAUUUCCGGCACUAAUGUCGAGUUUCAGCUCAACUGAAUUAUAUAUUUGAGUCGUUUUCGAGGUUUAAGAAAAUUGUCCAAAAAUGUCUGUAAUGAUUGUAACGAGCCUGGGAGAUAUAGUUGUGGAUUUGUUCACC
rnacentral:lncRNA from 1 species